CAAAAACAUCGCCUCCCGCAAAAAAUCAACGUAUAGGAGGUCUUGCCUGCCCAGUGACUAUAAGUUAAACGGCCGCGGUAUUUUGACCGUGCAAAGGUAGCGCAAUCACUUGUCUUUUAAAUAAAGACCUGUAUGAAUGGUGAAACGAGGGCUUAACUGUCUCCCCCUUCUAGUCAAUGAAAUUGAUCUACCCGUGCAGAAGCGGGUAUAAUAAUACAAGACGAGAAGACCCUUUGGAGCUUAAGAUAAAAGACUAACUAUGUUAAAAGUCCUAAAAAAGACUAAACCAAAUAGCACUAGUCCUAAUCUUCGGUUGGGGCGACCGCGGGAGAAAACAAAGCUCCCACGCGGACUGGGGCUCCCCCCAAAACUAAGAGAGACAUCUCUAAGGCACAGAACAUCUGACCAAAAAGAUCCGGCUACAUGCCGACCAGCGGACCAAGUUACCCUAGGGAUAACAGCGCAAUCCCCUUCCAGAGUUCAUAUCGACAAGGGGGUUUACGACCUCGAUGUUGGAUCAGGACAUCCUAAUGGUGCAGCCGCUAUUAAGGGUUC
rnacentral:rRNA from 1 species